GAAAAAUUUGUCCUUGUGCACACAAAAAGUAAAUUUAAACAAUAUGUUAAACAACUUUCUCAAAUUUCCAUCUUAUUUUUGCGUUGAUAAAACUGUUAAAAGUCCUUGGUUGUCAUUAUAAAGUAUCCCGUUAUAGUCGACCUCGAUAUGUUUGUUGGUUAAGUUAUUAUGUGUCUUUACUGAGGGACACUUUUGAUAAGAGAGAUAAAUUCAUAACAAUAAUCUACUCAGUAAACAGUGUUUAUUAAAAAGAUGCGUAUGGCUGAUUCGUAGUAAAUUAAUUGAUUGAAAACUAAUUGCAUUGAAUACCAUUCGGAACUUCCUAAGCUGACAACUCUCCCACAAUCAAUCCACCAGUGUCAAAGUAUUGUGUAUCGAUUGAUCGGAUCAAGUUUACAUCUAUAUGUGUUAGACAUUGCUUUAUUGGAAAUCUAAAAGGAUUCAACUUAAGAUGGAGAUUACACAAUUUGCAUUUGUUAUAAUUUUCCUUGCAUAUAUUGUUGAAGGUAAGUUUACUCUAUGUAUUUUUUUUCAGUUGAUGAGGGCUUUGAAAAUAGCAAAUUGAUAACUUAUGAAUCAAUAUCAUUUUUUUUUCCCUAUUCGUAUGUCAUAUAAGCCGUGUUGCCGGUGUAUUUAACUUCUGUAUUGGUAUUUAGAGGUCAUUCUAGGACAGUAUAUAAUCUCGUUCUUGUUAGCUUUGGGAGAGAUUUCUGUAUUGAUAUGUGUUCUAAAAUUUACUUAAUCUAAGACAGUGUAUCAUAUCAGAUGUGUCGGUUUUGGAAGCAACUGGUGUAAAUUGGUAUUUAGGCCCAACAAUGUAUCAAUUCAGGUUUGGUCUCAAGUCAGGAGCAUGUAAUUCAAUGGAUGGUUGUUGUAGCGUAUCAUAUUUGUUUUUCGUAAAUGUUUUUGUAUGUUAACCAGGCUGUUAGUUUUCUCUUUUGAACUGCAUAACUUUUGUUAAGUCGGGGCCUUUAUAUAACUCUCGUGUUGGCUUUCAGUCCAUUGUUGUAUGCCUUACAGAGAUCUAUAGUUGCCUCGAUCAUUGACUUUUUUAUUUAGAGGUUAUUCUAUAGAAUAUACUACAUCAGUAGUGUUAGCGGUGGAUGUGAAGGCAUCAGUACGAGCAUUUUACAAAGAAUUGUAUCUAACACUUUUAAGGCUUUUCUCCUGUUCAGUAAGGAACUGCCUCGGUUGUGUCGUGCAUGCAUGGUAGGUUACUCGCCUCGAGUUUGGGAGGUAGGUUUAAUCCCCACCUCAGUCAAAUCAAAGACUUUAAUAUUGGUAUUUUCUGCCUAUCUGCUAACCACAUGGUAUUUAGGAGUCUGAGGAGCAAUGAGACGUAGGCUUAGAGACGGAAUACUCUGUUUGUUUGUGUGUUGGUGUUUUCGAUCCAGUACAAAGCAGUGGUUCUUUUAAUAAGUAUAUGGUGAUUGUUUAAAAGAGACCAGGAAGGUUAUAAGACCAGGAUUGAUUGUUGUUCGCUUUACGUCCAGUGACAAAUAUGUCAUGCAUGUUCAGGACGAGAACAAAUAAACAAUAAAGGUUGAAAGGCUAGACAUUUGAAAGGUCUCUGUUAAUGUUGGAUAGGUUUAGAAACUAAGCAUUGGAAUAGGCUUUUUAUUCUUGCAGGUAAAAUGAUGAAGUGUUACACCUGUGACUCACGAGAAGACAGCCACUGUGGAAACACAUUUGGAUAUACUAAAGUCCAAGCUGAAAACAAACAACUGAUAACAGACUGCAAGGAAAGUCAGGUCUGUAGGAAAACAACAGUGGAGGACUAUGCAGGUACUAAUAAUCUCUAUUGAAAGUUUAUAUAACAUAAAAACAAAACAUGCAUAGGUGGAUAGUUUUCUCAUUAGCACUUAUACCACAUCUUCUUAUAUCUAUAUACGCUGGUUGUGAUCUGAUAUUCAUACUGGUGCAAACACAUCGGUGUUUGCGUGUGUAUGUUUGUGAUGGCCCCUUCGGUGGUGCUGGUCAGUAAUGAUUAUAGAUUUGAAGUCAACCUUUUACAACCAAAUACAUGCAAUAAAUCAAAUCAAGUUAAAAUAUCAACAUUUAUUUAUUUUAAACGUAUGAAAAAUGGGAGUCUCAGACGCAAACAUGUACGUGUAUACAAUCACUUAAAUUUCUAAAGUCUACGAAAAAAUGACAGUAUUAUAUUGUUUAUUGGAUAUAUUAGAUAACCGGUACAUGCACAUUCCUAAGUACUAUGUAAAAUAUCCCAGCACAGCAACAAUGAAAGGCUUACAUUCACUGUAUAACAUGAAGGUACUAAGAUGUAUGAUUGUUCAUGUCAAAUUUAAAGUUUUAUAACUUAUAGUAAUCAUUUAUAUAUUUUAUUUUACGGUUAUUUUAUGUCUUUCUACUGUAAUCUCCUGAUGUAAAUGUGACUGUGUUUUGUAUAUUUUUACUUCAGGCUUGUUUCACAUCUGUGACAGUGUAUUUUAAAUAAAGCUAAUAGUAUAUAUAUCAUAUAGUAUAUAUGUAACAGGCCUCUCCUUGUUAUCAUUUUGUUAGACAUUUUCUAAAAUUCCUGCAAUUAAGGCUUAGGUAUUUUAAAUGCUGGAAAAAUUGAAAGGCAUAUUUCAAAAUGCAGGAAAUUAUUCUAUAUGAAAUGUUCACUAAAAAUUUUGAAAUGGCUGAUCUGUUACGCAUUUGUUCUGAUUCAUUUGUCUGGCUUUAAACCUGCAUGGUCUUAGCAAUACUAUAACAAUCACAGUUGGUUAAAACCAGACCAUGACACAUUUAGCCCUACGUGACUGUAGCAAUUAUUGUUCUUUCAACAAGCUGACUCAUUUCCACGUAUGACGGUAUGAUGCAUACAGAGCAGGAGACACCUAUCUUGUCAGCGUCUUGCUUCUUAUGGAGAUCUUACAAUUCCCACAUGUUUUGUUUUUCAGUUACCUUGAUUUGUCUCUUCUUACUUGAUUUUUAGAUUUGAACAUCAGUAAACUCAGUACUGUCGGAUUGUAAAGACCUAGAACAUCAGUAAACUCAGUACUGUCGGAUUGUAAAGACCUAGAACAUCAGUAAACUCAGUACUGUCGGAUUGUAAAGACCUAGAACAUCAGUAAACUCAGUACUGUCGGAUUGUAAAGACCUAGAACAUCAGUAAACUCAGUACUGUCGGAUUGUAAAGACCUAGAACAUCAGUAAACUCAGUACUGUCGGAUUGUAAGAACUAGAACAUCAGAAACUUACUGUCGGAUUGUAAGACCUAGAACAUCAGUAAACUCAGUACUGUCGGAUUGUAAAGACCUAGAACAUCAGUAAACUCAGUACUGUCGGAUUGUAAAGACCUAGAACAUCAGUAAACUCAGUACUGUCGGAUUGUAAAGACCUAAAAUAAGAAAUAUUAUACAAACACCUCAAAUGUUAUUGUUUCCUUGUCUAUAAGAACUAAAAAUGUAAACUUUGUUUUUAGGACGUUUUGUGGUACGAGAGUGUGUGGAAUCCGUGGUAACAGGUUGUAGAGAGAUGCGUCGUGACGGAGAGGUCUGUGACUGUGUCGGUGAGUUGUGUAACAGUACAGACAUACCCAGAGUAUAUUUCGGAUUAAUUAUCGUCUUGGUUGUAGUGCAGAGAUUACUACUGUUAUAGACCGGGUACAAAGGAAGGCGAUAAUGAACACCAGUGGGAUGUAAUACUUUUUACCAAACACUGUCACUCUGAACAAUAAUUGACAAUAUCACUCUUUUAUGUAAAUUUGCAUCUACUCUGAUUUCACCAUAUGUGUACAGUAGUUCUCGUCCAUCUUCAUAUUAAUUAUAUUUGCAUGAAAGCGAAAUCAAGAUAAACAUAUCUUAUUGAAUUGCAGGGAAAUACUAUGUAGUAUUUUUUAAAAGUGCAGCUUUACCCCUUUCCAGCAGCUUUACCCCUUUCCAGCAUCUUUAACGACAAAUACCUCGUAACUAAAUAAACAUAUGAACAAAGAAGACAGAUAUGUAAAUAAAUAAAUAGGAGAUAAUAUAUGUUGUUUUAUAAUGAAUGGUUAACAAGCUUCAAGGUUGUAAUAUAUCAACCGCUUUAUGAAUUCAGUUAAUUAUGCGUGUUUUUGUAAAUACUGAUACUUUUCCUGAAAAUAAAUCUUCUAUACAUCCUUGCAGUGACAUAUAUAUGCACACAACACUUUUCUGGGUCAGUUUUUGUAAAAUCUUUGAAAUCUUGAGUAAGCUACUCACUAAUUACUAACCCUAUAAUUGAUAUACAUGUAAGAGGAGCAAGAUCUGCCUACCCUUCCGGAACACCUGAGAUUACCCCUAGUUUUUGUGAGGUUCGUGUUGCUCAUUUUUAGCUCACCUGGCCCAAAGGGCCAAGUGAGCUUUUCUCAUCACUUGGCGUCCGGCGUCCGGCGUCCGGCGUCCGGCGUUCGUCGUCCGUCGUCGUCGUCCGUCGUUAGCUUUUACAAAAAUCUUCUCCUCUGAAACUACUGGGCCAAUUUUUACCAAACUUGGCCACAAUCAUUAUUAGGGUAUCUAGUUUAAAAAUUGUGUCCGGUGACCCGGCCAACCAACCAAGAUGGCCGCCAUGGCUAAAAAUAGAACAUAGGGGUAAAAUGCAGCUUUUGGCUUAGAACUCAAAAACCAAAGCAUUUAGAGCAAAUCUGACAGGUGUAAAAUUGUUAAUCAGGUCAAGAUCCAUCUGCCUUGAAAUUUUGAGAUGAAUCGGACAACCCGUUGAUAGGUUGCUGCACCUGAAUUGGUAAUUUUAAGGAAAUUUUGUUGUUUUUGGUUAUUAUCUUGAAUAUUAUCAUAGAUAGAGAUAAACUGUAAACAGCAAAAAUGUUCAGUAAAGUAAGAUCUACAAAUAAGUCAACAGGACCAAAAUGGUCUGUUGACCCCUUUAGGAAUUAUUGCUCUUUAUAGUCAAUUUUUAACCAUUUUUCGUAAAUCUUAGUCAUCUUUUACAAAAAUCUUCUCCUCUGAAACUACUGGGCCAAAUUAAACCAAACUUGACCACAAUCAUCAUUGGGGUAUCUAGUUAAAAAAAUGUGUCCGGUGACCUGGCCAACCAACCAAGAUGGCCGCCAUGGUUAAAAAUAGAACAUAGGGGGUAAAAUGCAGUUUUUGGCUUAUAACUCAAAAACCAAAGCAUUUAGAGCAAAUCUGACAUCGGGUAAAAUUGUUUAUCAGGUCAAGAUCCAUCUGCCCUGAAAUUUUGAGAUGAAUUGGACAAUCCGUUGAUAGGUUGCUGCCCCUGAAUUGGUAAUUUUAAGGAAAUUUUGCUGUUUUUGGUUAUUAUCUUGAAUAUUAUUAUAGAUAGAGAUAAACUGUAAACAGCAAAAAUGUUCAGCAAAGUAAGAUCUACAAAUAAGUCAACAAGACCAAAAUGGUCUGUUGAUUUCUUUAGGAGUUAUUGCCCUUUAUAGUCAAUUUUUAACCAUUUUUCGUAAAUCUUAGUUAUCUUUUACAAAAAUCUUCUCCUCUGAAACUGCUGGGCCAAAUUAAACCAAACUUGGCCACAAUCAUUAUUGGGGUAUCUAGUUUAAAAAUUGUGUCCCGUGACCUGGCCAACCAACCAAGAUGGCCGCCAUGGCUAAAAAUAGAACAUAGGGAUGAAAUGUAGAUUUUGGCUUAUAACUCUGAAACCGCAGCCUUUAGAACAAAUCCGACAGGGGUAAAAUUGUUUAUUAGGUCAAGAUCUAUCUGCCCUGAAAUUUUCAGAUGAAUCUGACAACCUGUUGUUGGGUUGCUGUCCCUGAAUUGGUAAUUUUAAGGAAAUUUUGCUGUUUUUGGUUAUUAUCUUGAAUAUUAUUAUAGAUAGAGAUAAACUGUAAACAUCAAUAAUGUUAAGCAAAGUAAGAUUUACAAAUAAGUCAACAUGACGGAAAUGGUCAAUUGACCCUAAGGAGUUAUUGUCCUUUAUAGUCAAUUUUUAACAAUUUUCAUAAAAUUUGUAAAUUUUAACUAACAUUUUCCACUGAAACUACUGGGCCAAGUUCAUUAUAGAUAGAGAUAAUUGUAAGUAGCAAGAAUGUUCAGUAAAGUAAGAUGUACCAACACAUCACCAUCACCAAAACACAAUUUUGUCAUGAAUCCAUCUGCUUCCUUUGUUUAAUAUUCACAUAGACCAAGGUGAGCGACACAGGCUCUUUAGAGCCUCUAGUUUAGUUUUCUGUGUUGUGUGUUUGUGUACUGUUGUUUGUCUGGUGUUUCUUGGUCUUUUACCGGACUCCAACCAGAGCAAACCAUCAUCUAUUUAUUUUUCUUUUCGGAGGCAUCCUGGUUUAAAUUCGCUGAACAAUUAUAAUAUAAACUAAUACGAAAAACGUCGUUUACUUGGACCGAACUUAUAAUGACACUUUUAUAUUGAAAGCAAAUGGCAAAUAGCUUACAAUAAAACGGGCCUUUUAUAUAUACUAGUAGUGCCGGAGUCAAACGCGCGAGUGACCCACGACUGUUGUGCGACAGUUGUAAGACAGACAUACGACGCGCAUCCCAUGACAUGAAAACCUGAAAAAUAGCCCCAAACAACUCAUGAUUGUCGUACGACUGUCGCACGACCGACUUGCGACAAACCCACGACAGGACAAUUGCAUUUUUUUGUUUCUGUCGUGUACCCAUCGUGUACCCAUCGUGGACAUGUCGUAGCUGAUGUGACCAUUCGAAAUAUUUGUUUGACGCUUAAUUUGCACGACAGUGCCACGACAACUAUUUUAUAGAUCUUCCACGACAAAAAAAUCGUACGGUCUGUUGUGACCGGGGCUUUAGUCACUAUUGCUAAGUAAAAAUCAAAAUAUUCAAACUCAGAUAAAUCAUACUGAAAAAGAGGAUGCAACAGAAAUACAUAUUUGUUUAACAAAUCAUCUCUGUACUUCUCUAUACUGCUAAUACAUGCAAUAUGAUAACAAAUGAGUGUAUUUUCUCUCUGAAUUGAAUAACUACAAAACAUAAUGCAGCUAGGGUAAGAUAUGACCACUGUAUAUACUAAUUUACUAUAGCGUAUUUGUAUAUGAUUUAAAUUAAUGUUAUACUAUAUGUAACCACCUGUUAACAAUUCUUUGCUCUGAGAAAAGUUGUUUAAUUAAACAGGUUUAAUUAAUUUAGUUUUGAUAUUCAAUGUUGUGUCCUGUUCGGAGUUUUUCACAGGUUGAAGCUCAAUAUGGCAUUGUAGUGGUAGAAUUACAUAUACAUAUAUAUACAUUUAUACUAGAAUCUAGUUUUGUACACAUUUUGAUAGUUUUGUAACCACGUGUACUUCUGUAUUGUGUUGAAAUAAACAUCUUG
rnacentral:lncRNA from 1 species